ACUUAAAUUGAAGAGUUUGAUCAUGGCUCAGAUUGAACGCUGGCGGCAGGCCUAACACAGUGCAAGUCGAGCGGUAGCACAGAGAGCUUGCUCUCGGGUGACGAGCGGC
rnacentral:rRNA from 1 species